rnacentral:tRNA from 1 species
GGGCGCUUAGCUCAGUAGGUAGAGCAGCUGACUUUUAAUCAGCGGGUCGCAGGUUCGAAUCCUGCAGCGCCCACCA